UACGUAGGGUCCGAGCGUUGUCCGGAAUUACUGGGCGUAAAGAGCUCGUAGGUGGUUUGUCGCGUUGUUCGUGAAAACUCACAGCUCAACUGUGGGCGUGCGGGCGAUACGGGCAGACUUGAGUACUGCAGGGGAGACUGGAAUUCCUGGUGUAGCGGUGGAAUGCGUAGAUAUCAGGAGGAACACCGGUGGCGGAAGGCGGAUCUCUGGCGG
rnacentral:rRNA from 1 species